UACAGAGGGUGCAAGCGUUAAUCGGAUUUACUGGGCGUAAAGCGUGUGUAGGUGGCCGCGUAAGUCCGCUGUGAAAGUCAAAGACUCAACCUUUGAAAGCCGGUGGAUACUGUGAGGCUAGAGUACGGAAGAGGCGAGUGGAAUUCCUGGUGUAGCGGUGGAAUGCGCAGAUAUCAGGAGGAACACCAAUAGCGAAGGCAGCUCGCUGGGACGUUACUGACACUGAGGCGCGAAAGCGUGGGGAGCGAACAGG
rnacentral:rRNA from 1 species